GGGAAUGUGGUGGAAUUGGUAGACACGACGGACUUAAAAUCCGUUGCCUUGUGAAAGCGGUGAGGGUUCAAGUCCCUCCGUUCCCA
rnacentral:tRNA from 1 species